rnacentral:rRNA from 1 species
GAUUGAACGCUGGCGGCAUGCCUUACACAUGCANNUCGAACGGUAACAGGUCUUCGGAUGCUGACGAGUGGCGAACGGGUGAGUAAUACAUCGGAACGUGCCCAGUCGUGGGGGAUAACUACUCGAAAGAGUAGCUAAUACCGCAUACGAUCUGAGGAUGAAAGCGGGGGACCUUCGGGCCUCGCGCGAUUGGAGCGGCCGAUGGCAGAUUAGGUAGUUGGUGGGAUAAAAGCUUACCAAGCCGACGAUCUGUAGCUGGUCUGAGAGGACGACCAGCCACACUGGGACUGAGACACGGCCCAGACUCCUACGGGAGGCAGCAGUGGGGAAUUUUGGACAAUGGGCGAAAGCCUGAUCCAGCAAUGCCGCGUGCAGGAUGAAGGCCUUCGGGUUGUAAACUGCUUUUGUACGGAACGAAAAAGCUUCUCCUAAUACGAGAGGCCCAUGACGGUACCGUAAGAAU